rnacentral:rRNA from 1 species
UACGUAGGGUGCGAGCGUUAAUCGGAAUUACUGGGCGUAAAGCGUGCGCAGGCGGCUUCGCAAGUCAGGCGUGAAAUCCCCGGGCUUAACCUGGGAACUGCGUUUGAAACUACAAGGCUAGAGUGUGGCAGGAGGGGGGUGGAAUUCCACGUGUAGCAGUGAAAUGCGUAGAGAUGUGGAGGAACACCGAUGGCGAAGGCAGCCCCCUGGGUUAACACUGACGCUCAGGCACGAAAGCGUGGGGAGCAAACAGG